CCGUACACAAAAGCGCAUGUGCUGUGAGCUCGAUGAGUAGGGCGGGACACGUGGUAUCCUGUCUGAAUAUGGGGGGACCAUCCUCCAAGGCUAAAUACUCCUGACUGACCGAUAGUGAACCAGUACCGUGAGGGAAAGGCGAAAAGAACCCCGGCGAGGGGAGUGAAAAAGAACCUGAAACCGUGUACGUACAAGCAGUGGGAGCACAGGUUUACCUGUGUGACUGCGUACCUUUUGUAUAAUGGGUCAGCGACUUAUAUUCUGUAGCAAGGUUAACCGUAUAGGGGAGCCGGAGGGAAACCGAGUCUUAAUUGGGCGUUAAGUUGCAGGGUAUAGACCCGAAACCCGGUGAUCUAGCCAUGGGCAGGUUGAAGGUUGGGUAACACUAACUGGAGGACCGAACCGACUAAUGUUGAAAAAUUAGCGGAUGACCUGUGGCUGGGGGUGAAAGGCCAAUCAAACCGGGAGAUAGCUGGUUCUCCCCGAAAGCUAUUUAGGUAGCGCCUCGUGAAUUCAUCUCCGGGGGUAGAGCACUGUUUCGGCUAGGGGGCCAUCCCGGCUUACCAACCCGAUGCAAACUGCGAAUACCGGAGAAUGUUAUCACGGGAGACACACGGCGGGUGCUAACGUCCGUCGUGAAGAGGGAAACAACCCAGACCGCCAGCUAAGGUCCCAAAGUCAUGGUUAAGUGGGAAACGAUGUGGGAAGGCCCAGACAGCCAGGAUGUUGGCUUAGAAGCAGCCAUCAUUUAAAGAAAGCGUAAUAGCUCACUGGUCGAGUCGGCCUGCGCGGAAGAUGUAACGGGGCUAAACCAUGCACCGAAGCUGCGGCAGCGAACGUAUCACCCAAGACAACUUUACGGAGUUGACGAUUGACGGAGCGAAGCGACGUCAAAGCGUUCAUUAAAGUCGAGUUGGCUUAGGGAUACGUUCGUUGGGUAGGGGAGCGUUCUGUAAGCCUGUGAAGGUGUGUCGUGAGGCAUGCUGGAGGUAUCAGAAGUGCGAAUGCUGACAUAAGUAACGAUAAAGCGGGUGAAAAGCCCGCUCGCCGGAAGACCAAGGGUUCCUGUCCAACGUUAAUCGGGGCAGGGUGAGUCGACCCCUAAGGCGAGGCCGAAAGGCGUAGUCGAUGGGAAACGGGUUAAUAUUCCCGUACUUGGUGUUACUGCGAAGGGGGGACGGAGAAGGCUAUGUUGGCCGGGCGACGGUUGUCCCGGUUUAAGCGUGUAGGUGUGUGUUCCAGGUAAAUCCGGUUCACUUUAACACUGAGGCGUGACGACGAGGCACUACGGUGCUGAAGCAACAAAUGCCCUGCUUCCAGGAAAAGCCUCUAAGCAUCAGGUAACAUCAAAUCGUACCCCAAACCGACACAGGUGGUCAGGUAGAGAAUACCAAGGCGCUUGAGAGAACUCGGGUGAAGGAACUAGGCAAAAUGGUGCCGUAACUUCGGGAGAAGGCACGCUGACACGUAGGUGAAGUGAUUUACUCAUGGAGCUGAAGUCAGUCGAAGAUACCAGCUGGCUGCAACUGUUUAUUAAAAACACAGCACUGUGCAAACACGAAAGUGGACGUAUACGGUGUGACGCCUGCCCGGUGCCGGAAGGUUAAUUGAUGGGGUCAGCGCAAGCGAAGCUCCUGAUCGAAGCCCCGGUAAACGGCGGCCGUAACUAUAACGGUCCUAAGGUAGCGAAAUUCCUUGUCGGGUAAGUUCCGACCUGCACGAAUGGCGUAAUGAUGGCCAGGCUGUCUCCACCCGAGACUCAGUGAAAUUGAACUCGCUGUGAAGAUGCAGUGUACCCGCGGCAAGACGGAAAGACCCCGUGAACCUUUACUAUAGCUUGACACUGAACAUUGAGCCUUGAUGUGUAGGAUAGGUGGGAGGCUUUGAAGUGUGGACGCCAGUCUGCAUGGAGCCGACCUUGAAAUACCACCCUUUAAUGUUUGAUGUUCUAACGUGGACCCGUAAUCCGGGUUGCGGACAGUGUCUGGUGGGUAGUUUGACUGGGGCGGUCUCCUCCUAAAGAGUAACGGAGGAGCACGAAGGUUGGCUAAUCCUGGUCGGACAUCAGGAGGUUAGUGCAAUGGCAUAAGCCAGCUUGACUGCGAGCGUGACGGCGCGAGCAGGUGCGAAAGCAGGUCAUAGUGAUCCGGUGGUUCUGAAUGGAAGGGCCAUCGCUCAACGGAUAAAAGGUACUCCGGGGAUAACAGGCUGAUACCGCCCAAGAGUUCAUAUCGACGGCGGUGUUUGGCACCUCGAUGUCGGCUCAUCACAUCCUGGGGCUGAAGUAGGUCCCAAGGGUAUGGCUGUUCGCCAUUUAAAGUGGUACGCGAGCUGGGUUUAGAACGUCGUGAGACAGUUCGGUCCCUAUCUGCCGUGGGCGCUGGAGAACUGAGGGGGGCUGCUCCUAGUACGAGAGGACCGGAGUGGACGCAUCACUGGUGUUCGGGUUGUCAUGCCAAUGGCACUGCCCGGUAGCUAAAUGCGGAAGAGAUAAGUGCUGAAAGCAUCUAAGCACGAAACUUGCCCCGA
rnacentral:rRNA from 3 species